rnacentral:rRNA from 1 species
UGAGUGUCGCAGCUAACGCGUUAAGCAGGGCGCCUGGGGAGUACGGCCGCAAGGCUAAAACUCAAAGGAAUUGACGGGGACCCGCACAAGCAGUGGAGCGCCUGGUUUAAUUCGAUGGUCAGCGAAGAACCUCACCUGGGCUUGAACUGUAGCUGCACACCUUGGGAAACCAGGGGAGCCUUCGAGGGUGCUACAGAGGUGAUGCAUGGCUGUCGUCAGCUCGUGUCGCGAGAUGUAGGGUUAAGUCCCGUAACGAGCGCAACUCUUAUCUGAUGUUAUAAUUUCUUCAGAGACUGCCCCGUUAUAGCGGGGAGGAAGGAGGGGAUGACGUCCAGUCAGCAUGUCCCUUAUGUCCAGGGCUACACAGACGCUACAAUGGCUAUUACAAUGGGCUGCCAAGCCGCGAGGUGGAGCGAAUCCCAUCAAAAAUAGUCUCAGUUCGGAUUGCAGGCUGAAAUUCGCCUGCAUGAAGUCGGAAUUGCUAGUAAUCGCGUAUCAGCAUGGCGCGGUGAAUACGUUCUCGGGUCUUGUACACACCGCCCGUCAGGGCACGGGAGUUGCUCUUGCUCGAAGUUCCCGAAUUAUUCGGGACCGAAAGUUAAGGGCGGCGACCAGGCUUAAGUCGUA